rnacentral:rRNA from 1 species
GCCCUUGAGUUUGAUCCUGGCUCAGAAUGAACGCUGGCGGCAUGCCUAACACAUGCAAGUCGAACGAAGGCUUCGGCCUUAGUGGCGCACGGGUGCGUAACGCGUGGGAAUCUGCCCUCAGGUUCGGAAUAACAGCGAGAAAUUGCUGCUAAUACCGGAUGAUAUCGCGAGAUCAAAGAUUUAUCGCCUGAGGAUGAGCCCGCGUAGGAUUAGCUAGUUGGUGUGGUAAAGGCGCACCAAGGCGACGAUCCUUAGCUGGUCUGAGAGGAUGAUCAGCCACACUGGGACUGAGACACGGCCCAGACUCCUACGGGAGGCAGCAGUGGGGAAUAUUGGACAAUGGGCGAAAGCCUGAUCCAGCAAUGCCGCGUGAGUGAUGAAGGCCUUAGGGUUGUAAAGCUCUUUUACCCGGGACGAUAAUGACAGUACCGGGAGAAUAAGCUCCGGCUAACUCCGUGCCAGCAGCCGCGGUAAUACGGAGGGAGCUAGCGUUAUUCGGAAUUACUGGGCGUAAAGCGCACGUAGGCGGCUUUGUAAGUUAGAGGUGAAAGCCUGGGAGCUCAACUCCAGAAUUGCCUUUUAAGGACUGCAUCGUUGAAUCCAGGGAG